UCCACUUUUGGACACGCGUUUCUAACAAACACCCAAACUAAAAGUAUUUUUCCUCCACCCACCUGUUAGUUACGGAAUGUUAUGAUGUUUUAUUGAAGCUCCGAAAAUUCUAAAAGAAAACCGACGUCUAAAUUAUUCAAUUUCUAUUGUUUCCGGUAAUUUUUCAUGGCUAAUGAGAUAUGGAGUUGAAUUCCUGUUAUAAGGUUUGAUGGAGAACAAGUUACAAAUGAGACCAAUUUCAGACAUGAAUGCACAACUGCAACAUAUGGUCUAAAGAAGAAGAAGAAGAAGAAGCCCUUCGUUGAGAUCAAAAAGACAUCGAAUUGACUUUGAAUUUAUGUAUAUGUGUUGAUAGAUAGAGCUUGAAGGAACAUGGUAUAGAAGCUAUUGUAUAGUAUACAAAGUAAGUGAGUCUAUAUUAAGUAAGACUGUAUAUUUGUUUUGCUCAAUAAGAACCCCGUAAAAGUUUUACCA